rnacentral:rRNA from 1 species
UACGUAGGGUGCAAGCGUUGUCCGGAAUUACUGGGCGUAAAGCGCACGUAGGCGGCUUUGUAAGUUAGAGGUGAAAGCCCGGAGCUCAACUCCGGAAUUGCCUUUAAGACUGCAUCGCUAGAAUUGUGGAGAGGUGAGUGGAAUUCCGAGUGUAGAGGUGAAAUUCGUAGAUAUUCGGAAGAACACCAGUGGCGAAGGCGACUCACUGGACACAUAUUGACGCUGAGGUGCGAAAGCGUGGGGAGCAAACAGG